rnacentral:rRNA from 1 species
UACGUAGGGGGCAAGCGUUGUUCGGAAUCACUGGGCGUAAAGGGAGCGUAGGCGGAAGAAUAAGUUAGGAGUUUAAUGUACGGGCUUAACCCGUAAUCUGCUCCUAAUACUGUUUUUCUUGAGUAUGGGAGAGGGAGAUGGAAUUCCAGGUGUAGCGGUGGAAUGCGUAGAUAUCUGGAAGAACACCAGCUGCGAAGGCGGUCUCCUGGCCCAAUACUGACGCUGAGGCUCGAAAGCUAGGGGAGCAAACAGG